rnacentral:rRNA from 1 species
UGAAUACGAGACGCUAAGGCGUCGAAGUAGUGUAUGUCAUACUUCCAAGAAAAGCUUGCACUGUCAUAGAUAAAAAACGCCUGUACCAUAACCGACACAGGUGGGUAGGUAGAGUAUACUAAGGGGCGCGAGAUAACUCUCUCUAAGGAACUCGGCAAAAUAACUCCGUAACUUCGGGAGAAGGAGUGCCUUAUUCGUAAGGUUGCAAUAACAAGAUCCAAGCAACUGUUUAUCAAAAACACAGGUCUCCGCUAAGUCGUAAGACGAUGUAUGGGGGCUGACGCCUGCCCAGUGCCAGAAGGUUAAAGAAGUUGGUUAGCAAUUGCGAAGCUGAUAACUGAAGCCCUGGUGAACGGCGGCCGUAACAAUAACGGUCCUAAGGUAGCGAAAUUCCUUGUCGGGUAAGUUCCGACCCGCACGAAAGGCGUAAUGAUUUGGAUACUGUCUCGGAGAGGGGCUCGGUGAAAUAGACUUGUCUGUGAAGAUGCGGACUACCUGCACCAGGACAGAAAGACCCUAUGAAGCUUUACUGUAACUUGAAAUUGAAAUUGGACUUUAUUCGCGCAGUAUAGGUGGGAGGCGUUGAUUAUAAUCUUGUGGGAUUAUUGGAGCCAUCAGUGAGAUACCACUCUUGUAAUGUUAGAUUUCUAACUUUGAAUCAUUAUCUGGUCAAAGAACAGUUUCAGGCGGGCAGUUUGACUGGGGCGGUCGCCUCCUAAACGGUAACGGAGGCGUACAAAGGUUUCCUCUGAACGGUUAGAAAUCGUAUCUAGAGUGUAAAGGCAUAAGGAAGCUUGACUGUGAGACCUACAAGUCGAGCAGGGACGAAAGUCGGUCUUAGUGAUCUGACGGUACUGAGUGGAAAGGCCGUCACUCAACGGAUAAAAGUUACUCUAGGAUAACAGGCUGAUCUCCCCCAAGAGUUCACAUCGACGGGGAGGUUUGGCACCUUGAUGUCGGCUCAUCGCAUCCUGGGGCGGUAGUACGUCCCAAGGGUUGGGCUGUUCGCCCAUGAAAGCGGUACGCGAGCUGGGUUCAGAACGUCGUGAGACAGUUCGGUCCAUAUCCGGUGUAGGCGUUAGAAUAUUGAGAGGAGCCUUCUUUAGUACGAGAGGACCGAGAAGGACAUACCUCUGGUGUACCAGUUAUCGUGCCAACGGUAAACGCUGGGUAGCUAUGUAUGGAGUGGAUAACCGCUGAAAGCAUCUAAGUGGGAAGCCCACCUCAAGAUAAGUAUUCUCAGC